GCGAAUCUUUUUUAUAAGUUUUAAAAUGUUGCUUUUUGGUUUAUGGAGCAAUUUUCUUCCCCAUCUCCAGCAGCACCAGCCCCGAGUGGGCUCAUGACAUGGUGAGUCACGCCAACGUCGGCAAUGGAUUAUGAUCGCGCAAUAACUUGUUAAAGAACAAACUCACAUGAGCUUAAUUUAUGAAUACAAGGAAUGAGUGCCCUUCACAGGAGAGGCCCAUCAAUGGCUGAUUAGAUGCAAGACCCAACCUCUCCGCCCACUGCGAGACCCCGUCUCCUUAGGUGUGGGUGUGUCUGCAGGUGUGGGUGUGUCUGCAGGUGUGGCUGUGUCUCUGCAGGUGUGGGUGUGUCUGCAGGUGUGGGUGUGUCUGCAGGUGUGGGUAUGUCUCUGCAGGCGUGGCUGUGUCUCUGCAGAUGUGUUAUAUCUCAGCAGGUGUGGGUGUGUAUCCCCAGAGGUCGAAGCCCUGGUGCUGAGAUCUCCCAGGAGUGGUGGCACUGAGUAUCUGCCCAUCCUCUCUGGCUCUGGGCUGUUUCUGGCAUGGUCAGGCCCUGAGACCCUGCUGUAGGCCUUGUUUGGGGGUCUCUCCCUGCCUGGGCCUGGCUGCCUCUGCCCCGAGAUGCUUCUUCCAGA
rnacentral:lncRNA from 1 species